rnacentral:rRNA from 1 species
UUCAGAAGUUAAAACUCCGGUGGUUAAAGAUGGGCAUGCGUCCCAUUAGUUAGUUGGCGGGGUAAUGGCCCACCAAGACGAUGAUGGGUAGGGGGUCUUAAAGGAUAAUCCCCCACACUGGUACUGAGACACGGACCAGACUCCUACGGGAGGCAGCAGUGAGGAAUAUUGGUCAAUGGGCGAGAGCCUGAACCAGCCAUGCCGCGUGCAGGAUGAAUGCCCUAUGGGUAGUAAACUGCUUUUAAGAGGGAAGAAACCUAUCUACGUGUAGGUAGUUGACAGUACCUUUUGAAUAAGCAUCGGCUAACUCCGUGCCAGCAGCCGCGGUAAUACGGAGGAUGCAGGCGUUAUCCGGAUUUAUUAGGUUUAAAGGGUGCGUAGGCGGGACAAUAAGUCAGUGGUGAAAUCCUGCAGCUUAACUGUAGAACAGCCAUUGAUACUGUAGUUCUUGAAUUCAGUUGAGGUAGGCGGAAUGUGUAGUGUAGCGGUGAAAUGCUUAGAUAUUACACAGAACACCAAUUGCGAAGGCAGCUUACUAAACUGCGAUUGACGCUGAUGCACGAAAGCGUGGGUAGCGAACAGGAUUAGAUACCCUGGUAGUCCACGCUGUAAACGAUGAUAACUCGUUGUUGGCGAUACACAGUCAGCGACUGAGCGAAAGCAUUAAGUUAUCCACCUGGGGAGUACGGUCGCAAGACUGAAACUCAAAGGAAUUGACGGGGGCCCGCACAAGCGGAGGAACAUGUGGUUUAAUUCGAUGAUACGCGAGGAACCUUACCUGGGCUUAAAUGGGAGAUGAAUGAUUUGGAAACAGAUAGUCUCUUCGGAGUAUCUUUCAAGGUGCUGCAUGGCUGUCGUCAGCUCGUGCCGUGAGGUGUCGGGUUAAGUCCCAUAACGAGCGCAACCCCUAUCACUAGUUGCCAGCGAGUAAUGUCGGGGACUCUAGUGAGACUGCCAGCGUAAGCUGAGAGGAAGGCGGGGAUGACGUCAAGUCAGCACGGCCCUUACGUCCAGGGCUACACACGUGUUACAAUGGCCGAUACAAAGGGCAGCUACCAGGUGACUGGAUGCUAAUCUCAAAAGUCGGUCUCAGUUCGGAUCGAAGUCUGCAACUCGACUUCGUGAAGGUGGAUUCGCUAGUAAUCGUAUAUCAGCAAUGAUACGGUGAAUAC